rnacentral:rRNA from 1 species
CCUACGGGAGGCAGCAGUGAGGAAUAUUGGUCAAUGGACGAGAGUCUGAACCAGCCAAGUAGCGUGAAGGAUGACUGCCCUAUGGGUUGUAAACUUCUUUUAUAAAGGAAUAAAACGAGGCACGUGUGCCUUUUUGCAUGUACUUUAUGAAUAAGGAUCGGCUAACUCCGUGCCAGCAGCCGCGGUAAUACGGAGGAUCCGAGCGUUAUCCGGAUUUAUUGGGUUUAAAGGGAGCGUAGAUGGGUUGUUAAGUCAGUUGUGAAAGUUUUCGGCUCAACCGUAAAAUUGCAAUUGAUACUGGCAGUCGUGAGUACAGUUGAGGUAGGCGGAAUUCGUGGUGUAGCGGUGAAAUGCUUAGAUAUCACGAAGAACCCCGAUUGCGAAGGCAGCUUACUAAACUGUGACUGACAUUGAUGCUCGAAAGUGUGGGUAUCAAACAGGAUUAGAUACCCCUGUAGUC